CGGGAGCGGCCCCUCCUCACCGGGAGCGGCCCAGCGCAGCCCGGAGCCGCCGCCGGUGUCCGCCGGCUGCCGCCGCCGUGGCGGAGCGCUCCGGGCCGCGCGCAGCCGCUGAGCUGCGGGGCCUCGGCGGAGGCAGCGGAGUGACAAGAAAGUCCUUGGCUCUGAAGUCCCUCUGCCAAUUGAGUUGCUCUGGCCUGCCCACAUCAUUCCUGCAGCUUUGGUGGCCCUGGAUGGCUGGUGAAGAGGGAUGUUCAAUCUAAUGGCCAAUUGCUGCAACUGGCUGAAACGGUGGAGGGAACCUGUCAGGAAGGUGACACUAAUAAUGGUGGGUCUUGAUAAUGCUGGGAAAACUGCUACAGUCCGAGGAAUUCAAGGAGAGUCUCCUGAAGAUGUGGCUCCCACAGUUGGGUUUUCCAAAAUUAAUCUUAAACAGGGACGCUUUGAAGUCACCAUCUUUGAUUUAGGAGGCGGAAAACGAAUCCGGAAUAUCUGGAGGAAUUACUAUGCUGAGUCCUACGGUGUCAUAUUUGUGGUGGAUUCCAGUGACAUUGAAAGAAUGGAAGAAACAAAACAAGCCAUGAUAGAAGUGCUAAAAAGCCCUAAGAUAUCAGGAAAACCUGUGUUAGUGCUGGCAAAUAAGCAGGACAGAGAAGGAGCUCUGUCAGAGGCAGAUGUAAUCGAGUCCUUAUCUCUGGAAAGGCUGGUUAAUGAACACAAGUGUCUCUGUCAAAUUGAGCCUUGCUCAGCGAUCAUGGGCUGUGGGAAAAAAAUUGACAAAUCAAUCAAAAAGGGAUUAUUUUGGCUUCUCCAUAUCAUAGCAAAAGAUUUUGAUGCCUUAAGUGAGCGCAUCCAGAGAGACACAACAGAGCAAAAAGCACUUGAGGAGCAGAAGAAACUGGAACGGGCUGAGCGAGUCAGGAGGAUACGGGAGCAGAGGGAAAAAGAAGAAGGAAAUGCACCUGAGGAGGAAGACCCUGAGCCUGGAAAAUGUGGAAACCCCUUCCAGCCUAUAGCUACUGUAAUCUCUGAGAAUGAAAAACAGCUGGAAAAGGAAAAGAAGAGACAAAAGUUGGAGACUGAAAAGGCUACAAUUGCCUUGAAAUCCCAAGCAGAGCAGGACCACUUAUCAAGUAGCAGUAGCCAAACCACAAAUGACAGCAGGCAGGAAAGGUGCAACUCUACAACUGCCCAGCUUUUGCAGCAUGCAGAAGAGAGUGACCAACAAGCCUCAGAAUGCCUUGACUCAGAUAACAAUAAGAAAAAAAGUAAAAAACCCAAAUUAAAAAGGGGCCACAGAGUAGAACCUGUUAAUACAGAGGACUCUCUUCCCAAGAAUCCUACACCACCAGCAGCCCUUCCACCAGUUGGAUGGGGAACUCCCAAGCUUAAUAGACUUGGAAAACUUGAGCCUCUUGGUGAAACACAUCAUCCUGGCAAAUAGAGAGAAGGUGACAAGAAAGGAAAGCCAGAUGAAGAGGCCAUCAAAGCUUUCUUGGGGAAGAGGUGAUUUCUAUGGAAAGCCUCUGCCCCCGCUGACUCUACGCCAAAGACCCAACAGUGAUACCCAUGAUGUCAUUGCUUAACUGGAGCACAAAGAGAAUUU